UCCAUGGGGUAAGCGAAUGCCCCACGAGGCGUCAUGCUGGAAUUUCGCGUCCAACAGCAAUCAAGGACGUCGUAUCAUG
rfam:Sinorhizobium fredii NGR234, complete genome.